ACAGUGCAGGGAGGCUGGGAAGAAGAUAUUUGACAUGGAUUAAUCCUGGGUUGACACUUAUUUAACCUUUCAGAAAUAUUGGCAAAAGAAAGGUGACUUUGAAGGUGUAAUGGCAACAGGAAAUGCACAGACUGAUAGUUGUAAGCGUUGGUUCUAGGGAGGGCUUCCUUCCCGGAGCCUCUCUUGUUUAUAAAGCAAGCACAACAACAGGAAACUAUAAAAUACGCGAGGAUGGUUUGUUAUAAAUAUGGUUUUCGGCCCGCUCGAAAUGACUAAAAUGGUUCUUUCAGAGUGCUGUUAUGGAAAAAAUACCAACCCGUGUGCAUAAAAGUGGUAAGGUUCUUGAAGUGCGUGAAAGUGUCAUGGCGAUCGUCUUCACAUUUCAGCCAAACCAAAUGGAAAAGAAAGCAUCAGCGAGGGAGUUACAUGCAAGUCAUAAUUAAUUGUAUUUCCUACAGCAACCUACAAUUACAAAUUUAGUUCUUAACUUUAAAGAAUUGUAUAGCUAUGUUUAACUAUGUUUAACUAAGCUGCCCAGUCGAGCAAAUGGUGCACUACCUUUAAAUAAUAAAUUACCGUAAAACAUUAUCGCAUCUUUGUAUCAUUAAGAUCUGCGCUGUGUUGCACCGUACGUGAGAUUGUUCUCGACCAAUGUUUUCGGAACGGCAUGAAGACUUCCAGGCCGUUGCUAUCUGCGGAGCAGACAAGGCGGGACGUGUCGAUUACAAGGUCGCUGAGCUCUAGGGAGUCCACCCGCCAAGACGUCGCGGCCCUACAGUAAUGUAGACUGUACUAAGGUUAAUUCUACUACAGGUUAGGAAGAAAACGGGUUUUCUUAUGGGCGAGUUUGGCACAGGGAAAAAUUCUGCCGCUAGGUGCGCUGGCGUAGCGAAAGGGUAACACUUUACACACUGCCAUUGAGGGUGAACGUGAGAAAACCGCAUUGAAGUAAAAUAAAAUAGUCGGUAUGGUAUUUAGUUAUGUGCUUUUUGUUUGCAAGAAUUAUAUUGAACAAGUCUUCCGUUAAGAACGUGUAAAUUUCACAACUUUGUGCCUUUUGGGCACGUAAAUAAAAGCUAUACUGCGUUUAUGUUUCGCCGCGAGCAAUCUGCAUAUGAAGGCUGUUGAUGGUGAAAGAAACAAUUCUGGCUGAUAUUUGGUGGAUAAUUCCCAUGUGUCAAUAUACUCCAAGAAACCAAGAAGUGUCUACAUAAGAAAUAAUCAUUAAGUAUUUUUCAUGUUCCAAUACAGGAAAAUCUUUAUUUUUAAGUGCAGAUUAUGAAUAGAAGCAAAUAUUUCUUUUAAUGUUAAAUUAUUACUGUAUUGUUUUUAUAUCAGUUAUUAUAAAAAUUAACUAAACAAAUAAUUCUGAGUAGCCUAUUUGUUAUGUACAGACAUAAUAUUGAAAUAUUUCAAAAUUUAGAGUUUUACCUUUUCAUCAUCUGAUCCAACAGUCAGGCCUUUCCAUGGUUUGUUGUUGUCUAGUAUGGAAUAAACUUGUGCAACUUUUUCUAUGUAAUUUACGGUGCCAGAAAUAUUUUCUAUACCAGGCUUGUUACUGUAAAACUUCAAAGCUGCAGCUGUUUUCAUUGUGAAAAGCUACAAGCAUGAAAAUUUCAUUAUAAUUUUUACAGCAAUAAGAAAUUAUUUUUUUUUAAGGUGAGUUUCAUGUAAGUUUCUAACCAGUUUUAAUCAUGUAAUUACCCUCAAUGUAUUGUGUUUGUGUGAUAAGUAAAUUAAAUUAUUAAGCUAGGUUGUUUGUAUAAAAAAAUGUUAAAUAUAAAACUAUACUGGUGACAUACAAUUUAUUAAUUUUUUUAGUUCUUAAAUAUAAUGUUUUCAUCAGUGAUUAUUGGAUUAUUUCAGUUAAUGCAUAUGCCCAAUACAAAUAACUUAAUAAUUUAACGUCUGGUGUAGCCUAGUAAGUUGAAUUUUAAUUUGUAGUAGUAUCAAAAUAAUUAAAGUAAAACUUUUGUUGUCUCCCCAUGUUACAAAUAUAAAUAAUUAAUGGUAAAAAAUAAACUGUCUAUAAAAUUA